rnacentral:rRNA from 1 species
UACAGAGGUGGCAAGCGUUGUUCGGAAUUACUGGGCGUAAAGGGCGCGUAGGCGGCCUUCUAAGUCAGACGUGAAAUUCCCCGGCUUAACCUGGGAACUGCGUCUGAUACUGGGAGGCUUGAGUAUGGGAGAGGGAUGUAGAAUUCCAGGUGUAGCGGUGAAAUGCGUAGAUAUCUGGAGGAACACCGGUGGCGAAGGCGGCAUCCUGGACCGGUAUUGACGCUGAGGCGCGAAAGCCAGGGGAGCAAACGGG